rnacentral:misc_RNA from 1 species
GGAAGCAAAACAUACUUAUCCAGUGAACAUAGUGUUCCUCUAUAAAGUAGCGAUAGAUCCAAUUUUAUAUUAAUCUGUUUAAACAUUCAGAGUAUUCCCAAUUUUUUUUUUUCAUUACCUCUCAUGCCAGUUCAACAUAAUUUUGGAAAUUUUUUUAAUGAAAAGUUCCUAUUUCCUUGGGGAAAUUAAAUUUUGCUCUAUGAGGACAAAAAAAAUGUUAUUUUAAAUAAAAUGAAGGGAGGGCAGGUCAGAACUCUGAA